rnacentral:rRNA from 1 species
AAAUUGAAGAGUUUGAUCAUGGCUCAGAUUGAACGCUGGCGGCAGGCCUAACACAUGCAAGUCGAACGGUAACAGGAAGCAGCUUGCUGCUUCGCUGACGAGUGGCGGACGGGUGAGUAAUGUCUGGGAAACUGCCUGAUGGAGGGGGAUAACUACUGGAAACGGUAGCUAAUACCGCAUAACGUCGCAAGACCAAAGAGGGGGACCUUCGGGCCUCUUGCCAUCGGAUGUGCCCAGAUGGGAUUAGCUUGUUGGUGAGGUAACGGCUCACC